rnacentral:rRNA from 1 species
CGAUUGAAGAAUUUGAUCCUGGUUCAGAGCGAACGCUGGCGGCGUGCCUAAUACAUGCAAGUCGAACGAGAAACGGGGGGCAACUCCCGGAGUACAGUGGCGAAAGGGUGAGUAAUACGUGGACAACCUGCCCCCGAGUUCGGGACAACCCCGCGAAAGUGGGGCUAAUACCGGAUAACAUCCCCGUGGCGCAUGCUGUGGGGAUCAAAGGUGCCCGCAAGGGUGUCGCUUGAGGAGGGGUCCACGGCCUAUCAGCUUGUUGGCGGGGUAACGGCCCACCAAGGCUGCGACGGGUAGCCGGUCUGAGAGGAUGUCCGGCCACAAGGGAACUGAGACACUGUCCCUACUCCUACGGGGGGCAGCAGUAGGGAAUAUUGCGCAAUGGGCGAAAGCCUGACGGAGCGACGCCGCGUGGGGGAUGAAGGCCUUCGGGUUGUAAACCCCUGUCUAGCGGGAAGAAGCGUGGUGGGGUUAAUAGCCUUGCCACUUGACCUAACCGCUGGAGGAAGCACCGGCAAACUCCGUGCCAGCAGCUGCGGUAAUACGGAGAGUGCAAGCGUUGCUCGGAUUUACUGGGCGUAAAGGGCACGUAGGCGGUCUGGUAAAUCAGGUGUGGAAGCCCUCCGCUUACCGGAGGAAUUGCUCCUGAGAUUGCCAGGCUUGAGGAGAGUAGGGGAAAGUGGAACUGUAGGUGGAGCGGUGAAAUGCGUAGAUAUCUACAGGAACGCCGGAGGCGAAAGCGACUUUCUGGACUCUUUCUGACGCUGAGGUGCGAAAGCUAGGGGAUCAAACAGGAUUAGAUACCCUGGUAGUCCUAGCCGUAAACGAUGAACACUAAGUAGUGGGGGGUCUACCUCUCUCUGCCGAAGCUAACGCAUUAAGUGUUCCGCCUGGGGAGUACGGUCGCAAGGCUAAAACUCAAAG